CGGGGUGAGUAACGCGUGGGUAACCUGCCUCAUACAGGGGGAUAACAGUUAGAAAUGACUGCUAAUACCGCAUAAGCGCACGGUGCUGCAUGGCACAGUGUGAAAAACUCCGGUGGUAUGAGAUGGACCCGCGUCUGAUUAGCUAGUUGGUGGGGUAACGGCCUACCAAGGCGACGAUCAGUAGCCGGCCUGAGAGGGUGAACGGCCACAUUGGGACUGAGACACGGCCCAA
rnacentral:rRNA from 1 species